ensembl:lncRNA
GUUGGUGGGGUUUCGUAAAGUAGACCUUUGCGCCAUAGCUGACUAUUAUGGACUCUUCGUCCCUGAGGAAGCCCUAAAGGCUGAGCUGUUGGUGCUAGUCAGGGAGGGUUUAGUGAGAAAAGGAAAUUUCUUGUUGAAAUAUGAGGGAGGCGGAUAGACCUUCAUAUGCCAAGGCGGAGGAAGGGGUUGCUCGUACCUCCUCUACAUUGCCCCGAUUUCAACCCUUUAUCUUCUGCUUCGGGUUGUUCAGAUGGGACCGCUAGGCUAAAGGUGGUGCUGACCUGUUUGGAAAUGGAGCUAAAAUAUAAAGUGUGUUUAUCCAGCUGGAGUUUGAUUUAGAAAUGAGGAAAAUGGCCAUAUAAGCCGACAAGGAGGUGAGGAUCCGAUAACUCCACAACCUACCCAUCAUCAAGCCUACUUUGAAGUCUCCAGCCCGAAUCAUCCGGAGAGUCAAGGGGCCCUUGAACUGCUGGCAUCAGACGCUUAAGGCGACUCUAAGCAAGUAUUGCAUGGAUACCAAUACCGAUUGGGAUGGAGGGGUGCCCUUUGUCUUAUUUGCUAUCAGGGAAACAAUACAAGAGUCAUUAUGCUUCAGUCCUGCUGACCUUGUGUUUGAACACACCCCAUGGGGUCCGCUAAAAGGAUAUGCUCCUUCAAAACUAUCUCCUACAGCCAUCAGCGCCCCUAAAAAUGUGUUGGAUUAUGUCAGAAAAGAUUCGGGAGAGACUGAGCGCCGCAUGUGCAUUGGCACAAAAGUCUCUCUAUUUGUCUCAAACACAUGAAAUUACAUGACAAAGAGGCUGUUGGCCAUUCUUUUGCACAAGGGGAUCAAGUUUUGGUUUUGGUUCCCAUCCCUGGCUCAUCUGUCAGAACGUAUUUUUUGUUGUUUUUUUUACAUUUUAUUAUUAUACCCCAUUUUCUCCACAAAUUCAUGGUAUCCAAUUGUUAGUAGUUACUAUCUUGUCUCAUCGCUACAACUCCUGUACGGGCUCGGGAGAGACGAAGGUCGAAAGCCAUACGUCCUCCGAAACACAGCCCAACCAAGCCGCACUGCUUAACACAGCCGCAAACCAACCCGGAAGCCAGCCGCAAAAAUGUGUCGGAGGAAACACAGUGCACCUGGUUAGCGUGCACUGCGCCCGGCCCGCCACAGGAGUUGCUAGUACGCAAUGAGACAAGGAUAUCUCUACCGGCCAAACCCUCCCUAACCCGGACGAUUCUAUGCCAAUUGUGCGUCGCCCCACGGACCUCCCGAUCGCGGCCGGCUGCGACAGAGCCUGGGCGCGAACCCAUGGUCUCUGGUGGCACAGAGAAGCAGUACCCUAGACCACUGCGCCACCCGGGAGGCCCUUUGGCCAUAUCUUGUGGAAAAGAAACUCUGUGACACCAAUUAUGUGAUAAAGACCCCGGUUUGUAGGCAUUCUUCAGGUGUGUGUCAUGUUAAAUUGCUGAAAGCAUAUUAUAUGCGUGACUCUCCAGACAGCUCCUCGGGUAAGCUGGUCCAGCCCGCCAUUUCCAUGCUGAAAAAGUUACCCUCUCAAAUUGAACAUUUGGAUAAUGAUCAAACUAUUGAUCUGGUCCUAUUAAUAAAUAGUUCUCAAUGUGUUUCAGGACGUUCCAAGUCACACGUCCAUCUUGGAACAUGACAUGGAUGUGGGGAACACUGCUUGUAUACGUCAGCAACCGUACCGGGUUAACGCUAAGAAAAGGGAUGUAAUGAAAAGUGAGGUAGCUUAUUUAUUACAGAAUGAAAUGGCAAAACCCAGUAACAGCUCUUGAAGUUCCCUGUGUAUUCUCCUUCCUAAGCCUGACGGUAAGUCCCGCUUAUGUACGGACUAUGUACAGACUAUCAUCACUAUCACUCAGGAAGGAGACUCGUUCUGUCUCCUAGAGAUGAACGUACUUCGGAAAAGUGCAACUCAAUCCCAGAACAACAGCGAAGGACCUUGUGAGGAUGUUGGAGGAAACAGGUACAAAAGUAUCUAUAGCCACAGGAAAAACUAGUCCUAUAUCGAGGCCGCUUAGCAAGGAAGAAGCCACUGCUCCAAAACCGCCAUAAAGCCAGACUACGGUUUGCAACUGCACAUGGGGACAAAGAUCAUACUUUUUGGAGAAAUGUCCUCUGGUCUGAUGAAACAAAAAUAGAACAGUUUGGCCAUAAUGACCAUUAUGUUUGGAGGAAAAAGGGGGAGGCUUGCAAGCUUAAGAACACCAUCCCAACCAUGAAGCACGGGACUGGCAGCAUCAUGUAGUGGGGGUGCUUUGCUGCAGGAGGGGCUGGUGCACUUCACAAAAUAGAUGGCAUCAUGGGGUAGGAAAAUUAUGUGGAUAUAUUGAAGCAAAAUCUCAAGACAUCCGUCAGGAAGUUAAAGCUUGGACGCAAAUGGGUUUUCCAAAUGGACAAUGACCCCAAGCGUACUUCCGAAGUUGUGGCAGAAUGGCUUAAGGACAACAAAGUCAAGAUAUUGGAGUGGCCAUCACAAAGCCCCGACCUCAAUCCCAUAGAAAAUUUGUGGGCAGAACUGAAAAAGUGUGUAUGAGCAAGGAGGCCUCCAAACCUGACUCGGUUACACCAGCUCUGUCAGGAGGAAUGGGCCAAAAUUCACCCAACUUAUUGUGGGAAGCUGGUGGAAGGCUACCCAAAACAUUUGACCCAAGUUAAACAAUUUAAAGGCAAUGCUACCAAAUACAAAUUGAGUGUAUGUAAACUUCUGACCCACUGGGAAUGUGAUGAAAGAAAUACAGGCUGAAAUAAAUGAUUCUCUCUACUAUUAUUCUGACAUUUCACAUUCUUAAAAUAAAGUGGUGAUCCUAACUGACCUAAAACAGGGAAUUUUUACGAGGAUUAAAUGUCAGGAAUUCUGCUACUGAGUUUAAAUGUGUUUGGUUAAGGUGUAUGUAAACUUCCGACUUCAACUGUGUAUAUAUUUUAUUUUUUACUGCCGCAGCAGUAAGUUGUUGGCUGUAGUAGCCCUCAAUCAAUUGGAAUACCAGGUUCACAUGUUUGCCUUCAAGUUUACUAUUUUUUCAAAAACAUAAUCUAUGGAUUUAUUUAGGUUGCUUAAGACAAACUUAUUCAAUACUAAAUAAAUUAUUUCAACGGUGAAAAAGGUGUGGUUUCAAAACAAAUAGUGUCUUCUAUGUCUUCCAUGCCCUCACGUCCCUGAAUGUUCCCUACUCGACCUAAUGAAACAUUUGCUACAAAAUCCUAACUAGAUUUGUAAUUACAGUGUCCAGU